GCCUCAGUAACGGCGAGUGAAGCGGCAAUAGCUCAAAUUUGAAAUCUGACUCUUUCAGGGUCCGAGUUGUAAUUUGUAGAGGAUGUUUCGGCUUACGCCCCGGUCUAAGUUCCUUGGAACAGGACGUCACAGAGGGUGAGAAUCCCGUUUGUGGCCGGCGGCUUCCGCCAUGUGAAACUCCUUCGACGAGUCGAGUUGUUUGGGAAUGCAGCUCUAAAUGGGAGGUAAAUUUCUUCUAAAGCUAAAUACUGGCCAGAGACCGAUAGCGCACAAGUAGAGUGAUCGAAAGAUGAAAAGCACUUUGGAAAGAGAGUUAAAAAGUACGUGAAAUUGUUGAAAGGGAAGCGCUUGCGACCAGACUUGCCCGCGGAUGCUCAACCGGUCCUUCGGCCGGUGCACUCUUCCGCGGUCAGGCCAGCAUCAGUUCGGACGGUUGGAUAAAGGCCUUGGGAAUGUGGCUCUCUUCGGGGAGUGUUAUAGCCCUUGGUGCAAUACAGCCUGCCUGGACUGAGGCCCGCGCUUCGGCUAGGAUGCUGGCGUAAUGGUCGUAAGCGGCCCGUCUU
rnacentral:rRNA from 1 species